UACAGAGGGUGCGAGCGUUUAAUCGGAAUUACUGGGCGUAAAGCGUGCGUAGACGGUCAUGUAAGUCGGGUGUGAAAGCCCCGGGCUCAACCUGGGAAUUGCAUUCGAGACUGCAUGGCUAGGAUGCGGAAGAGGGAGCGGAAUUUCCGGUGUAGCGGUGAAAUGCGUAGAUAUCGGAAGGAACACCAGUGGCGAAAAGCGGCUUCCUGGCCAGCAUCGUACGU
rnacentral:rRNA from 1 species